GAUGAAGAACGUAGCGAAAUGCGAUACGUAAUGUGAAUUGCAGAAUUCAGUGAAUCAUCGAGUCUUUGAACGCACAUUGCGCCCCCUGGUAUUCCGGGGGGCAUGCCUGUCCGAGCGUCAUUGCUGCCCUCAAGCACGGCUUGUGUGUUGGGCCUCCGUCCUCCUCCCGGGGGACGGGCCCGAAAGGCAGCGGCGGCACCGCGUCCAGUCCUCGAGCGUAUGGGGCUUCGUCACCCGCUCUUGUAGGCCCGGCCGGCGCUUGCCGACACAUCAAUCUUUUUUCCAGGUUGACCUCGGAUCAGGUAGGGAUACCCGCUGAACUUAAGCAUAUCAAUAAGCGGAGGA
rnacentral:misc_RNA from 1 species